rnacentral:rRNA from 1 species
GGUUCGAUCCUGGCUCAGAUUGAACGCUGGCGGGAUGCUUUACACAUGCAAGUCGAACGGCAAAUGGACUUCGGUCUGGUGGCGAGUGGCGUAAUUGGUAAGAGUAAUGUAUCGGAACGUUUGAUAGCGGAUAACUACGCGAAACAGUAGCUACCACCGCAUACGCCCCUUCGGGGAAAGCGGGGACCCGGGCCCCGCAUCAAUAGAGCGGCCGAUAUCGGAUUAGCUAGUUGGUGGGUAACGGCUCACCAAGGCGACGAUCCGUAGCUGGUUUGAGAGACGACCAGCCACUGGACUGAGACACGGCCCAGACUCCUACGGAGGCAGCAGUGGGGAAUUUUGAUGAAUGGGGAAACCCUGAUCCAGCCAUCUCAAGGUGCAAGAGCUGAAGGCCUUUGUCAUAAAGCACCUUUAAGAGUAAACACGAUAAUACCCCGUGCAACUGACGGUACCUGCAGAAUAAGCACCGGCUAACUACGUGCCAGCAGCCGCGGUAAUACGUAGGGUGUUGCUAAUGAAUUACUGGGCGUAAAGCGUGCGCAGCAGGCGGUUCGGAAAGAAAGAUGUGAAAUCCCAGAGCUUAACUUUGGAACUGCAUUUUUAACUACCGAGCUAGAGUGUGUCAGAGUGGAGUGGAAUUCCGCGUAGCAGUGAAUGCGUAGAUAUGCGGAGGAACACCGAUGGCGAAGGCAGCUUCCAGAUAACACUGACGUUCAUGCACGAAAGCUGGGAGCAAACAGAUUAGAUAAUUCUGGUAGUCCGCUGCCUCUAAACGAUGUCAACUAGCUGUUGGGGUUCUCGGCUCUCUAUAGCGUGUUAAUCGCGAAGUUGACCGCCUGGGGAGUACGGUCGCAAGAUUAAAACUCAAAGGAAUUGACGGGGACCCGCACAAGCGGUGGAUGAUGUGGAUUAAUUCGAUGCAACGCGAAAACCUUACCUACCCUUGACAUGUCUGGAAUCCCAAAGAGAUCGGGAGUGCUCGCAGAGAACCGAACACAGGUGCUGCAUGGCUGUCGUCAGCUCGUGUCGUGAGAUGUUGGGUUAAGUCCCGCAACGAGUGCAACUCCUUGUCAUUAGUUCGCUACGAAAGGGCACUCUAAUGAGACUGCCGGGUACAAACCGGAGGAAGGUGGGGAUGACGUCAAGUCCCUGGCGGCUCCUUAUGGGUAGGGCUUCACACGUCAUACAAUGGUCGGGACAGAGGGUCGCCAACCCGCGAGGGGAGCCAAUCCCAGAACCCGAUCGUAGUCCGGAUCGCAGUCUGCAACUCGACUGCGUGAAGUCGGAAUCGCUAGUAAUCGACUGGCGAUGUCGCGGUGAAUACGUUCCCUGGCCUCACACCGCCCGUCACACCAUGUGGAGUGAAUACCAGAAGUAGUUAGCCUAACCGUAAGGAGGGCGAUUACCACGGUAGGAUUCAUGACUGGGGUGAAGUCAACAAGGUAAC